AUUUGUCAUUGUUUCAGUCAGCAUGGUUUUUAUCAUCCUUUUCCUGUUUAUACCACCUUGUCAUGAUUAUUGUGCCGAUUGCUGUAGGAGACACAAGACUUCCCAAAAAUGACAUUCGUGAGCGAGUGACUGAUUCUGCUACCUGCCACACAGUUCUGCUCAUCAUAGACCCUUGUGUCCCUUCAGAUGCAAAGUCACAUGUGGAUCUUCUCGAC
rnacentral:lncRNA from 1 species